rnacentral:rRNA from 1 species
ACGGGUGCGGAACACGUACGCAACCUUCCCAAAACUGGUGAAUAGCCUUCCGAAAGGGAGAUUAAUACACCGUAACUUAAUUGAGUGGCAUCACUUGAUUAAUAUAGCUCCGGCGGUUUUGGAUGGGCGUGCGCCUGAUUAGGUAGUUGGCGGGGUAACGGCCCACCAAGCCUGCGAUCAGUAACUGGUGUGAGAGCACGACCAGUCACACGGGCACUGAGACACGGGCCCGACUCCUACGGGAGGCAGCAGUAAGGAAUAUUGGUCAAUGGACGCAAGUCUGAACCAGCCAUGCCGCGUGAAGGAUGAAGGCCCUCUGGGUUGUAAACUUCUUUUACAGGGGACGAAAAAGGGGAAUUCUUUCUCAACUGACGGUACCCUGGGAAUAAGCACCGGCUAACUCCGUGCCAGCAGCCGCGGUAAUACGGAGGGUGCAAGCGUUAUCCGGAUUCACUGGGUUUAAAGGGUGCGUAGGUGGGUCUGUAAGUCAGUGGUGAAAUCUCCGGGCUUAACCCGGAAACUGCCAUUGAUACUAUAGGUCUUGAAUUAUCUGGAGGUAAGCGGAAUAUGUCAUGUAGCGG